GAGGGAAAAGCAGGCUCCUUGCAGGGAGCCCGACGCGGGACUCGAUCCCAGGUCUCCAGGAUCACACCCUGGGCUGCAGGCGGCGCUAAACCGCUGCGCCACCAGGACUGCCCUAUUAUAUCCUAUCUUUUGCUUACCAUGCAUUUAAUUUUCUCUUAUUAAUUUCUUAAGGUAGAAGCUGAGGUCAUUCAUGACGCUACUUUUUUUUUUUUUUUUCUAAAAUAGACAUUUAGUGUUAUAAAAUUUCCUUUAAGUUCUGUUUUAGGUAAAGCCCACAAAUUUUUAUAUAUUGUAUUUUUAUUUUCAUCCAGUUCAAAAAUACUUCCCGAAUUUCUUCUUAUUUUUUUUUUCUUAAGGCCAUGGGUUAUUUAGAAGUGUAUUUAGUUUUCAAAUUUGAGAUUUUCCAGGCAUCUUUUAUUACUGAUUUCUAAGUUAAUUUCAUUAUAAUUGUAGAAGAUAUUGUGUGACUUUAAUUAUUUUAAAUGUAUUGAAAAUACAAGUUCGGGCCAGAAUAUGGUCUCUCUUGCUAACUUUUUCAAGUGUACUUGAAGACGAUGUAUAUUCUGCUCCAGUUGGGUGGAGUAGUCUACAAAUGUUAAUUAGGCCAAACAAAUUGGUUUUUAGUGUUGUUGAAGUCAUCUAUAAACUAACUGAUUUUCUGUUGACUUGCCCUAUUUGUUAUAAGUAUUCUAGUAUCAAAUUAUGAUAAUGAUUUAUUGAUUUCUACUCAUAUUUCUGACAGAUUCUGCUUCAUAUAUUUUGAAACUCUAUUAUUAGAUGCAUAAUAGUUAACAAUUGUUAUUUCCACUUUGUGAGUUGCCACCUGAAAUCUACUUUGUCUAAUAUAUCUACUGCAGCUGUUUUUCUUAGUGGUAGCAUGACAAGCUUUUCUCUUUUUUUACUUUUAAUUUAUUUGUAUUUUUAUAUUUAAUGUAUGUUACUUGUAUUUGAUAUACAGUUUUUAUCCAGCUUCACAAUCUCUUUUAAUUGGGGUGUUCAGUCCAUUUAUAUUUAGUGAGAUUAUCAAAGUUGGUUUUAAAUCUACCAUUUUUUAAAAAAUUAUUUGUUCCAUAUAUUGCUUGUAGCCUUGCUCCUCUUACUAUGGCUUCCUUUGGAUUAACUAAAUAUUUUUAAUUACUCUUUAAAAAAAUUUUUUUUAAAGAUUUUAUUUAUUUACUCAUGAGAGACACAGAGAGAGAGAGGCAGAGACAUAGGCAGAGGGAGAAGCAGGCUCCAUGCUGGGAGCCGAACGUGGGACUCCCAG
rnacentral:lncRNA from 1 species